GCCUUCGUGGUCUAGUUGGUUAUGACGUCGGUCUCAUAUCCCUUCCCUUGUUCGCAAGGUCUAUAUGACAUUCUUGGUAACAAGAUUGACAUCCGAAGGUCUCCAGUUCGAACCUGGACGAGGGCA
rfam:Penicillium griseofulvum strain PG3 contig_95, whole genome shotgun sequence.